GUGACCUCGGAUCAGGUAGGAAUACCCGCUGAACUU
rnacentral:rRNA from 1 species